GACGAACGCUGGCGGCGUGCUUAACACAUGCAAGUCGAACGGAAAGGCCCUGCUUUUGUGGGGCGCUCGAGUGGCGAACGGGUGAGUAACACGUGAGUAACCUGCCCUUGACUUUGGGAUAACUUCAGGAAACUGGGGCUAAUACCGGAUAGGAGCUCCUGCUGCAUGGUGGGGGUUGGAAAGUUUCGGCGGUUGGGGAUGGACUCGCGGCUUAUCAGCUUGUUGGUGGGGUAGUGGCUUACCAAGGUUUUGACGGGUAGCCGGCCUGGGAGGGUUACCGGCCACAUGGGGACUGAGAUACGGCGCAGACUCCUACGGGAGGCAGCAGUGGGGAAUAUUGCACAGUGGGCGGAAGCCUGAUACGAAAACGCCGCGUGCGGGAUGACGGCCUUCGGGUUGUAAACCGCUUUCGCCUGUGACGAAGCGUGAGUGACGGUAAUGGGUAAAGAAGCACCGGCUAACUACGUG
rnacentral:rRNA from 1 species